UCUAACUGCAGCACUGUAACUGGAAGGUUC
rnacentral:piRNA from 2 species